UCUAUUGAAAAAAUUGCAAUGUAUUGACAUUUUAUACGUGUUCUUAACAGAACUAUGAUGAUAAAUGCGCACGGAAUAACCGGAUCGGACCCGGGGGCGGUACCCGGCGGCUCCACCAUUUUUCUUAUGGGGCCGAAAUAGGAUCGACGAACGUGUAAAGGUGUCAGCUUUCAUUCGGUGGGGUACCGCUGUUAUCGGUCCAAAUUGCACAAUUGCCAAUGACAAUCGUGCUCCAUAUGCUCUAGCUGCGUAAAGCUAGCGUAAUAUGGAACUUUAAGUCUAUGACUCCGAUACACUGGUCAUAGCGGGGUUUGCAGGCACCUGUCUCCAGAAGCCUGCAUU
rnacentral:tmRNA from 1 species